AUGGCAACCAGGAUGACACGGGGGAGCUUUGGCGCCUCGUCGUCGCCGUCGCCGCCCUUACCAACCUGUAGGUAGAUCCCGGCCGCCUCCAGGAUAGUCGCCGCGAUGUUUACCCAUGCCAGGUAGCUGCAUGUAGAAUACAUGAUCAGACUGCACGCACGCAUGGAGGUGGCAAGUAAGGAGUCAUAUCAUACUUACACAAAUGGUGGGUAGUUUUUGAAGGUGACGGUGACCCUGGAACCGUGGGGCUCGAAGAUGGAGCACUCGCUCGCCGUCGCCAUGACGACCGCCGAGGUGAGCGCCAGCACCAUCGUGGACAGGCGGAACAGGAGGGUCACCGCCUUGGAGCCAUUUGGCUCCUC
rnacentral:lncRNA from 1 species